UACACUCUGCGGGAGGCAGCAGUGGGGAAUUUUGGACAAUGGGCGAAAGCCUGAUCCAGCAAUGCCGCGUGAGUGAAGAAGGCCUUCGGGUUGUAAAGCUCUUUUGUCAGGGAAGAAACGGUGAAAGCUAAUAUCUUUUGCUAAUGACGGUACCUGAAGAAUAAGCACCGGCUAACUACGUGCCAGCAGCCGCGGUAAUACGUAGGGUGCAAGCGUUAAUCGGAAUUACUGGGCGUAAAGCGUGCGCAGGCGGUUUUGUAAGUCUGAUGUGAAAUCCCCGGGCUCAACCUGGGAAUUGCAUUGGAGACUGCAAGGCUAGAAUCUGGCAGAGGGGGGUAGAAUUCCACGUGUAGCAGUGAAAUGCGUAGAUAUGUGGAGGAACACCGAUGGCGAAGGCAGCCCCCUGGGUCAAGAUUGACGCUCAUGCACGAAAGCGUGGGGAGCAAACAGGAUUAGAUACCCUUGUAGUCC
rnacentral:rRNA from 1 species